GGGCAACUCACGGAACUAACGUUACAAACGUGACACUUGGGCUAGUUUUUUUUUUCACACGAAUCUUUUAAUUCGCGGCCGAAUAGUUGAACGACGUACACUCAUUUCUUCUUCGGUAUACUCAAUUUUCAUUCGUUUAUUUGUUUUUACGUUUACAAGAAUGGUACCGUAAAUAAGUGGUUGAGCGAUAACUUUAUAAUAACAGUCCGCAUCGAAGCGGUAGCAAUCGAACCGGUGUGCAAAUUAAAAUAUAUUGAACGUCGCAGUAUUACCAU